rnacentral:rRNA from 1 species
ACCUACGGGGCGCAGCAGUGAGGAAUAUUGGUCAAUGGGCGCGAGCCUGAACCAGCCAAGUAGCGUGAAGGAUGACUGCCCUACGGGUUGUAAACUUCUUUUAUAAAGGAAUAAAGUGAGGCACAUGUGCCUUUUUGUAUGUACUUUAUGAAUAAGGAUCAGCUAACUCCGUGCCAGCAGCCGCAGUAAUACGGAGGAUCCUAGCGUGAUCCGGAUUUAUUGGGUUGAAAGGGAGCGUAGAUGGGUUGUUA